CCUACGGGAGGCUGCAGUGGGGAAUCUUCCGCAAUGGGCGAAAGCCUGACGGAGCAAUGCCGCGUGAGUGAAGAAGGCCUUCGGGUUGUAAAACUCUGUCCUUAUCGAAGAGAGAGUGUUGUAGUAACUGACAAUACUAGGACGGUAGAUGAGGAGGAAGCCCCGGCUAACUAUGUGCCAGCAGCCGCGGUAAAACAUAGGGGGCAAGCGUUGUCCGGAAUCACUGGGCGUAAAGGGCGCGCAGGCGGUAAAUUAAGUCAGGUGUGAAAGUUCGGGGCUCAACCCCGGGAUUGCACCUGAUACUGAUAAACUAGAGUGUUGGAGAGGUAAGUGGAAUUCCUAGUGUAGCGGUGGAAUGCGUAGAUAUUAGGAGGAACACCAGUGGCGAAGGCGACUUACUGGCCAAUAACUGACGCUGAGGCGCGAAAGCGUGGGGAGCAAACAGGAUUAGAUACCCGGGUAGUC
rnacentral:rRNA from 1 species